rnacentral:rRNA from 1 species
AUUGAACGCUGGCGGCAGGCCUAACACAUGCAAGUCGAACGGAGCGCCGGACGGGUGCGUAUUGCCUAGGCCUCUGCCUGUUAGUGGGGGAUAACGUCCGGUAACGGGCGCUAAUACCGCAUCCUAUCAGAUGCGCCUAGGUCGGAUUAGCUAGUUGGUGGGGUAAAGGCCCACCAAGGCGACGAUCCGUAACUGGUCUGAGAGGAUGAACAGCCACACUGGAACUGAGACACGGUCCAGACUCCUACGGGAGGCAGCAGUGGGGAAUAUUGCACAAUGGGCGCAAGCCUGAUCCAGCCAUGCCGCGUGUGUGAAGAAGGCCUUCGGAUUGUAAAGUACUUUAAGCUGGGAGGCGUUACCAGCAGAAUAAGCACCGGCUAACUUCGUGCCAGCCGCCGCGGUAAUAC